AAGUCGAACGCUUUGUGGUUCAACUGAUUUGAAGAGCUUGCUCAGAUAUGACGAUGGACAUUGCAAAGAGUGGCGAACGGGUGAGUAACACGUGGGAAACCUACCUCUUAGCAGGGGAUAACAUUUGGAAACAGAUGCUAAUACCGUAUAACAAUGACAACCGCAUGGUUGUUAUUUAAAAGAUGGUUCUGCUAUCACUAAGAGAUGGUCCCGCGGUGCAUUAGCUAGUUGGUAAGGUAAUGGCUUACCAAGGCGAUGAUGCAUAGCCGAGUUGAGAGACUGAUCGGCCACAAUGGGACUGAGACACGGCCCAUACUCCUACGGGAGGCAGCAGUAGGGAAUCUUCCACAAUGGGCGAAAGCCUGAUGGAGCAACGCCGCGUGUGUGAUGAAGGGUUUCGGCUCGUAAAACACUGUUGUAAGAGAAGAAUGACAUUGAGAGUAACUGUUCAAUGUGUGACGGUAUCUUACCAGAAAGGAACGGCUAAAUACGUGCCAGCAGCCGCGGUAAUACGUAUGUUCCAAGCGUUAUCCGGAUUUAUUGGGCGUAAAGCGAGCGCAGACGGUUAUUUAAGUCUGAAGUGAAAGCCCUCAGCUCAACUGAGGAAUUGCUUUGGAAACUGGAUGACUUGAGUGCAGUAGAGGAAAGUGGAACUCCAUGUGUAGCGGUGAAAUGCGUAGAUAUAUGGAAGAACACCAGUGGCGAAGGCGGCUUUCUGGACUGUAACUGACGUUGAGGCUCGAAAGUGUGGGUAGCAAACAGGAUUAGAUACCCUGGUAGUCCACACCGUAAACGAUGAGUGCUAGGUGUUUGAGGGUUUCCGCCCUUAAGUGCCGCAGCUAACGCAUUAAGCACUCCGCCUGGGGAGUACGACCGCAAGGUUGAAACUCAAAGGAAUUGACGGGGACCCGCACAAGCGGUGGAGCAUGUGGUUUAAUUCGAAGCAACGCGAAGAACCUUACCAGGUCUUGACAUCCCUUGACAACUCCAGAGAUGGAGCGUUCCCUUCGGGGACAAGGUGACAGGUGGUGCAUGGUUGUCGUCAGCUCGUGUCGUGAGAUGUUGGGUUAAGUCCCGCAACGAGCGCAACCCUUAUUACUAGUUGCCAGCAUUUAGUUGGGCACUCUAGUGAGACUGCCGGUGACAAACCGGAGGAAGGUGGGGAUGACGUCAAAUCAUCAUGCCCCUUAUGACCUGGGCUACACACGUGCUACAAUGGCGUAUACAACGAGUUGCCAACCCGCGAGGGUGAGCUAAUCUCUUAAAGUACGUCUCAGUUCGGAUUGUAGGCUGCAACUCGCCUACAUGAAGUCGGAAUCGCUAGUAAUCGCGGAUCAGCACGCCGCGGUGAAUACGUUCCCGGGUCUUGUACACACCGCCCGUCACACCAUGAGAGUUUGUAACACCCAAAGCCGGUGGGGUAACCUUCGGGAGCCAGCC
rnacentral:rRNA from 1 species